rnacentral:rRNA from 1 species
UACGAAGGGGGCUAGCGUUGCUCGGAAUUACUGGGCGUAAAGGGUGCGUAGGCGGAUAGUUUAGUCAGAGGUGAAAGCCCGGGGCUCAACCCCGGAAUUGCCUUUAAGACUGCAUCGCUUGAAUCCGGGAGAGGUGAGUGGAAUUCCGAGUGUAGAGGUGAAAUUCGUAGAUAUUCGGAAGAACACCAGUGGCGAAGGCGGCUCACUGGACCGGCAUUGACGCUGAGGUGCGAAAGCGUGGGGAGCAAACAGG